rnacentral:lncRNA from 1 species
UGGUAGAUAACGCUUACAAGGAAUUGGUCAAAGGAAAGAGUGCCUUCUGGAACUGUGAAGCUCUGCAUUGGUAACUCAGUGACUGGCUUGACCUACUGUCCAGCUCCAGAGGGAGGCAGACCCAUGUUUUGAAAUAAAAAAAAAAAAAAAAAUUAUGGCACCGCUCUAUGGCACCCAGAGGACCACCACUCUGUGUGGCAGUUAAAAGAAUCUGAUUUAGAGAUGGAGAGCAGCAGAGUUCCCUUGUGCAGUCUUGGAGAGGUGAGUUCCCCAUGUCCUGGAGUGGUGCAAAAAGGUGAGAGAGUUAGUCACCUGGUCAGUUUCCUUCACCAAAGCUAAGGCAAGUCUUUCAAGAGAAAGCCCCGUUGCCUGUGCUGUGCUCUGCACGGUGUUGACCUAAGCCAGGCCAAAAACAGGGCUGCUGUUCCUCCUGCUCUUACUUCCUCUCAUGUAUGGCUCCUCCCCUUUCCCAGGUGAUUGGGUUUGGGUGCUGGGCGGGGCCAAAUGGUAUAUGAGCCCCAGGUAUGCCAUUGGAGAGCUCUUUCUGCCUGGGCUGCUCUUAGGGAGGACUAAAAAGAGCUUGAUUACAUGCUGCAAGAGGCUUGACCAGAGUCGCAGUAUUACCAAGAGACUGAGCCAGGGUCAUACCAGAGUUACCUUUUUCAUCUGUAAAGGGUGCCUAGUGCAGUCUUGGACAGGGAAAUCCCCAUGUCACGGAGCAGUGAGGGAAGGUGAGAGUGUUGUGAGCGAGGUUGUUAUAAAUGACUGGGUCCC